rnacentral:ribozyme from 1 species
GUUGCAGCUCGUCUGAAACAAGAAUCUCUCUCUCGUAACUCCUACACCUUCGACCCUGUCGCCAUGCCUUACUAUGCCCCCACACCUAAGGGUGAUAAUGCUGACCAUUCUGCACACCCUGGCAAUCACCCUUGGGAUCCUAACUCUGAUUCUCACAGA